CUUCUGUUAACAUUUGGAGGUUUCUUUCUUUCCCUCAGCAAAUAAUAUAUAUAUAUGCUAGAGUUUUAAUACUCUGAAAUUGGUAUAUUGAAAAGCAAAAAAGGCAUUAUUGAGAUGUAGUUAUUGUCCCUGCAAGUUCUAAAGUCAUUAAUUUGACAUUCUAAUUUAACCCUCCCACAAGUAGCGAUAGGUCAUAUCCCAUCUCUCUCUUUUCUUUUAAAGAGGGAAUUUUUCUCUGUUUAACAAUUCAUCUUUCUUUCUUGGAAAAGUCGAGGGAUUCGUUCUCUGGUGAGCCUUCCUCUAUCUCUGGGGAUGGGAAAGGCUCCCCUGACCUAGAGGAUGGGUCGACCUUCCCUGCCUCUGGUCAGGGUGUACAUGAUGGGUUUUAUUGUGUUAGUUUGUGCAUGACAGAUCGUGGUAUUUCAAUUAAAGGUCUAGUUGCCGAUCUGUGUGGGAAUGUAGGUUUCGAGGAGAUCUUUGCUGGAUCGGAGCAAGAGAGGUUUGAGCUUUGUCUGGGAUGGCAUUCAGCUUGGGGGUUAAACACGCUGUAGUUGGUAGGUCCUGUUAUGUCAUCCAACCCCCCCUGUAACUAGAGUAGGCUCUGCUUUCCCCUCUGAUAGUGCCUCAAUGGUGUUUUUUAGCGUAGAUGGCUCAAUUUUUACUGGGCUCAAUGCUUUCUCAGGCGACAAAGGAGGUAGCAACAAAGGCUAUUAGAGUGUCCUGCCUUAGUGUUUGGGUUGUUCUAUGUUAAAACUCUGAGUUUGACCUUGAUCGGGCUCUGUUUUGUUGUGGAUCUUGGUUUUGUUCCGCUGUUAAUGUGGUGGUGGUGAGAUGGUGCUCUAUAGGUAUUUGUUUUGCUUAUCGGCGUUAGGUGUAGUGAAUCCCAGGUGAUGUUUUGUGGGCUGAGUCCUUCAUUUAGGUUGUUUUGGGAUUUGUAUUUGUUGGACUUAGACUGAGCCCUCCUCUUGUAUUUUCUCAACUAUUAAUGAAAUUUCACAUUUUAG
rnacentral:misc_RNA from 1 species